UACGUAGGGUGCAAGCGUUGUCCGGAAUUAUUGGGCGUAAAGAGCUCGUAGGCGGUUUGUCGCGUCUGCUGUGAAAACUCGGGGCUUAACUCCGGGCCUGCAGUGGGUACGGGCAGACUAGAGUGCGGUAGGGGAGACUGGAAUUCCUGGUGUAGCGGUGAAAUGCGUAGAUAUCGAGAGGAACACCUGCGGCGAAGGCGGGUAGCUGGGCCGACACUGACGCUGAGGCGCGAAAGCCAGGGGAGCGAACGGG
rnacentral:rRNA from 1 species